rnacentral:rRNA from 1 species
UACAGAGGUCUCAAGCGUUGUUCAGAUUCAUUGGGCGUAAAGGGUGUGUAGGUGGCGCCGUAAGUCGGGUGUGAAAUUUCGGAGCUUAACUCCGAAACUGCAUUCGAUACUGCGGUGCUUGAGGACUGGAGAGGAGACUGGAAUUCAUGGUGUAGCAGUGAAAUGCGUAGAGAUCAUGAGGAAGACCAGUGGCGAAGGCGGGUCUCUGGACAGUUCCUGACACUGAGACACGAAGGCCAGGGGAGCAAACGGG